UGUUUCCGAUGCGGUCAACUGGGGCAUUUGAGCCUAGACUGCCCGGGCAGCGCAUCCCCAGCUCCAUCGUCAGCUUCAGUUCAGUACACUCAGCGACAGCUGGCGGGACUGCCACCCGCGGUGUCUGCUGGGCGACCAUCGGCGCCUCGACAGCAGGAGUCCUCUCGAGCACCUAGUGGGCGGGUUUUUGCAACUCAGGUGGGGGAGCAGCUGAUUUCAGUUCCCGACAAUGUCGUGGCAGGUAUUAUCCUUAUCAGAGGCACUAGAGCUACAGCCAUAUUUGACACAAGUGCAUCUCA
rnacentral:lncRNA from 1 species